GACGAACGCUGGCGGCGUGCCUAACACAUGCAAGUCGAACGGAACUGUUUUGAAAGAUUUCUUCGGAAUGAAUUUGAUUUAGUUUAGUGGCGGACGGGUGAGUAACGCGUGAGUAACCUGCCUUCAAGAGGGGAAUAACAUUCUGAAAAGAAUGCUAAUACCGCAUGACAUAUCGGAACCACAUGGUUUUGAUAUCAAAGAUUUUAUCGCUUGAAGAUGGACUCGCGUCCGAUUAGUUAGUUGGUGAGGUAACGGCUCACCAAGACCGCGAUCGGUAGCCGGACUGAGAGGUUGAGCGGCCGCAUUGGGACUGAGACACGGCCCAGACUCCUACGGGAGGCAGCAGUGGGGGAUAUUGCGCAAUGGGGGCAACCCUGACGCAGCAACGCCGCGUGAAGGAUGAAGGUUUUCGGAUUGUAAACUUCUUUUAUUAAGGACGAAAAAUGACGGUACUUAAUGAAUAAGCUCCGGCUAACUACGUG
rnacentral:rRNA from 1 species